rnacentral:rRNA from 1 species
UCCGAAGCUGGGCGAGCCUGAUCAGCCAUGCCGCGUGAGUGAAGAAGGCCUUCGGGUUGUAAAGCUCUUUUAGUCGGAAAGAAAGAGUUGCAAUGAAUAAUUGUGAUUUAUGACGGUACCGACAGAAAAAGCACCGGCUAACUACGUGCCAGCAGCCGCGGUAAU